CCUACGGGAGGCAGCAGUGGGGAAUAUUGCACAAUGGGGGAAACCCUGAUGCAGCGACGCCGCGUGAGUGAAGAAGUAAUUCGUAAUGUAAAGCUCUAUCAGCAGGGAAGAAAAUGACGGUACCUGAGUAAGAAGGCACGGCUAACUCCGUGCCAGCAGCCGCGGGAAUACGUAGGGGGAAAGGGUGAGGCGGAUUUACUGGGUGGAAAGGGAGCGUAGACGGCAGUGCAAGUCUGGAGUGAAGGGGGGGGGCUCAACCCCCGGACUGCUCUGGAAACUGUACGGCUGGAGUGCAGGAGAGGUAAGUGGAAUUCCUAGUGUAGCGGUGAAAUGCGUAGAUAUUAGGAGGAACACCAGUGGCGAAGGCGGCUUACUGGACUGUAACUGACGUUGAGGCUCGAAAGCGUGGGUAGCAAACAGGAUUAGAUACCCCAGUAGUC
rnacentral:rRNA from 1 species